UAGGGAAUCUUCGGCAAUGGACGAAAGUCUGACCGAGCAACGCCGCGUGAGUGAAGAAGGUUUUCGGAUCGUAAAACUCUGUUGUUAGAGAAGAACAAGGACGUUAGUAACUGAACGUCCCCUGACGGUAUCUAACCAGAAAGCCACGGCUAACUACGUGCCAGCAGCCGCGGUAAUACGUAGGUGGCAAGCGUUGUCCGGAUUUAUUGGGCGUAAAGCGAGCGCAGGCGGUUUCUUAAGUCUGAUGUGAAAGCCCCCGGCUCAACCGGGGAGGGUCAUUGGAAACUGGGAGACUUGAGUGCAGAAGAGGAGAGUGGAAUUCCAUGUGUAGCGGUGAAAUGCGUAGAUAUAUGGAGGAACACCAGUGGCGAAGGCGACUCUCUGGUCUGUAACUGACGCUGAGGCUCGAAAGCGUGGGGAGCAAACA
rnacentral:rRNA from 1 species